rnacentral:rRNA from 1 species
UACGGAGGGUGCAAGCGUUGUUCGGAAUUAUUGGGCGUAAAGGGCAGGUAGGUGGUCUCAAAAGUCUACUGUGAAAUCCCCGGGCUUAACCCGGGAAGUGCGGUGGAUACUCUGAGACUUGAGUGCUGGAGGGGUUCGUGGAAUUCCCGGUGUAGCGGUGAAAUGCGUAGAUAUCCGGAGGAACACCGGUGGCGAAGGCGGCUUACCUGGACCGACAC